rnacentral:rRNA from 1 species
GAUCCUGGCUCAGGAUGAACGCUAGCUACAGGCUUAACACAUGCAAGUCGAGGGGCAGCGGGAUUGAAGCUUGCUUCAAUUGCCGGCGACCGGCGCACGGGUGAGUAACGCGUAUCCAACCUUCCGUACACUCAGGGGAUAGCCUUUCGAAAGAAAGAUUAAUACCUGAUGGUAUGAUGAGAUUGCAUGAUAUCAUCAUUAAAGAUUUAUCGGUGAUGGAUGGGGA